AAACUUAGGUUAACACAAAACCAAAGACCUUCAAAGUCUUAAACAGGGUGUAAACCCUAGCUUCUG
rnacentral:tRNA from 1 species